GCCUGGCCUUAAAUCUUGAUGCUUCNAUUACCUAAGCAUCCGCCCGGGAACUACGAGCACAAACGCUUAAAACCCUAAGGACCUGGCGGUGUCCCAAACCCACCUAGAGGAGCCUGUUCUGUAAUSGAUGAUCCACGAUAUAACCUGACCACUUCUUGCCAGUAACAGCCUACAUACCGCCGUCGCCAGCUCACCUUAACUGAAAGCCCAACAGUGGACGCAAUAGCCCNAACCACGCUAAWAAGACAGGUCAAGGUAUAGCCCAUGGAGUGA
rnacentral:rRNA from 1 species